rnacentral:tRNA from 1 species
AAUUAAUUAGCUUAAAUUUAAAGCAUUUGUUUUGAAAACUUAAGAUAAAAUAAAUUAUUUUAUUAAUUU